AAGAAACCAACAGGGAUUGCCCCAGUAACGGCGAGUGAAGCGGCAACAGCUCAAAUUUGAAAUCUGGCCCCCAGGGCCCGAGUUGUAAUUUGCAGAGGAUGCUUUUGGCGCGGUGCCUUCCGAGUUCCCUGGAACGGGACGCCAUAGAGGGUGAGAGCCCCGUCUGGUCGGACGCCUAGCCUGUGUAAAGCUCCUUCGACGAGUCGAGUAGUUUGGGAAUGCUGCUCUAAAUGGGAGGUAUAUGUCUUCUAAAGCUAAAUACCGGCCAGAGACCGAUAGCGCACAAGUAGAGUGAUCGAAAGAUGAAAAGCACUUUGAAAAGAGGGUUAAAUAGUACGUGAAAUUGUUGAAAGGGAAGCGCUUGUGACCAGACUUGGGCCCGGUGGAUCAUCCAGCGUUCUCGCUGGUGCACUCCGCCGGGUUCAGGCCAGCAUCAGUUCGCCGCGGGGGAAAAAGGCUUCGGGAACGUGGCUCCUACGGGAGUGUUAUAGCCCGUUGCAUAAUACCCUGGGGCGGACUGAGGUUCGCGCUCCGCAAGGAUGCUGGCGUAAUGGUCAUC
rnacentral:rRNA from 1 species